GACAGAGGGUGCAAACGUUGUUCGGAAUUACUGGGCGUAAAGCGCGUGUAGGCGGCUAUGUAAGUCGGGCGUGAAAUCCCACGGCUCAACCGUGGAAGUGCACCCGAAACUGCGUAGCUAGAGUCCUGGAGAGGAAGGUGGAAUGCUUGGUGUAGAGGUGAAAUUCGUAGAUAUCAAGCGGAACACCGGUGGCGAAGGCGGCCUUCUGGACAGUGACUGACGCUGAGACGCGACAGCGUGGGGAGCAAACAGG
rnacentral:rRNA from 1 species